AAGAGUUGCAAAACUUAAACCAUUGUGAACGUUACCUUUACCGUUGCUUCGGCGGGCGGCCCGGGUCCUGCCCGGCGCCCCCCGGCCCUCGCGGGCGCCCGCCGGAGGUAAACCAAACUCUUGAAUUGUAUGGCCUCUCUGAGUCUUCUGUACUGAAUAAGUCA
rnacentral:misc_RNA from 2 species